UCAUUCACAGUUUCCUCUCUUGCAACAAUCAACUCAAACGGACAAUAGACUUACGUUUACCUACCUAAACCACCACAGUAUACAUAUGUCCAUACCCAAUAAUUAUAUUACAAAAAAUACUUUCGAAAUACUUUGUUCUUAUACAUCCGUUUUCGAUUCAAUGUUGUGUAAAAUAUUAAUGAGUUGAUUAGUUAAAUUAUUAUUUCCUUCCUAAAUUGUUUUGACAGUAAAUACUACCACUAGUGUUCGGAAGAAAACCAGAGACCUGAGAAGAUCAAGGUUUGAUUGUUUAAACCUUUAGAAAUGGGUUUUUCGGAUUUUGCAGUUCAAUGUUUUUCGGAUUUUACUAUACUUAAGUUAUUUUUUUUGAAGUUUCUAUCUAUUUUUUUGUGUGUCAAAAAACUACGUGCAACCUUGCUUUCUGUUAAGUAUUGCUUGAACUUGACUGUGAAGUAAAUGAUUUUAGUGUUCGAUGUUUAGGAAUUUUAUGUUUUUGUUGUUCUUUCUCUCCUCUAUUAACUUUUUUGUUUUGUGUUUCAAGACACGGAUAUGGAUUUAGGUGUCCUAAAAUAUAUUCAUAACUACAUAUACCAAAAGUGUCAACGAACAAAGAUGACAUUUAAGAAUGUGUUUGGUAGCCAUGGCAAUGAAGUUAUAUGCAUACAAAUGCCAUGACCAGUGGAAAUAACGUGAUUUACUUGAGAAGCCUGACCUUCUCUAAGUUUUUUUUGUGCUUUAAUGUAAUGGAAACAUUUACUUUUUCAACCGUCGAUCACUUAGUUUUCUUAUAUCAAUGGCUACUGUGAUAGCAAGAGGGGAGAUAUAUACUACCUUGAAACUUUAUUUUGUUAACUUGAUUAAGAAUUGUUAAAAAUGCAGUAUGCUAAUUUUACGUUGUUGCUUUGAA